UAACUCUGGUCCUAAAAGCCGCCCGAAAGGGUCGGUGGUGUUCCCUGGACCCAGGUCCUAAACUAAUGGCUAGUCUCCUAACGGAGGCGACACCCUCAAACUGAACGGGGAACUCCUAAAGCUCUCACUACGAAGCGGCGUGUUGAAAGGCAGUCGUGGCCAGGGUAAUGACCUCGGGUAUCGUAACAAAGUGAGAGAUGCCAUAAUGGACAAUCCGCAGCCAAGCCCUGUAAGCACUCCAGUGUAGGGGAAGGUUCAGAGACUUGACGGGAGUGGGUAGGCUGAAUGCCUGUCUAAGACAAAGUCCGUCCCUGCGCGAAAGCGUAGG
rnacentral:ncRNA from 1 species